AGAAUAAGUGGAAACAUUAUGAGAACUUACUAGACCAGUAGAAUAUGUGACUGUGGGAUUAGAUUGAGGGAGAAGUGCCAAUAGACCUUGAAUUUGCUCUUGAGAAAGUCCCAAAGUUGAGGAAUGUAACUGCGCCUGAAAUUUAUUAGAAGAAACAACUGUAGAAGCCAUUAAAGUAGAAAAAAUUGUAGGAAAGCCAAGAACGAGAGGUAGAAGAUGAAGAUUUUAGGUAGUAAAAGAAUUGGUUGCGGAAGAACGUGAUCAAGAAUUAAUUUUCUUCUGAUACCAUGUUAGAAAAGAAGAAAGAAUGAAAUAUUGUAUUUCUUAUUGAAUGAUAAGGAGAGAAUACAAUUGAU
rnacentral:lncRNA from 1 species